rnacentral:tRNA from 1 species
UAGGAUGUAGCCCAGUGGUAGGGCACUUGCUUAACAUGCACAAUGCCCCUGGGUUUGAUCCCCAGCACCACAA